UACGAAGGGUCCAAGCGUUAUCCGGAUUUAUUGGGUUUAAAGGGUGCGUAGGCGGCUUAUUAAGUCAGUGGUGAAAGCCCGUAGCUCAACUACGGAACUGCCAUUGAUACUGAUGAGCUUGAAUAUACUUGAGGUUGGCGGAAUGUGUCAUGUAGCGGUGAAAUGCUUAGAUAUGACACAGAACACCGAUUGCGAAGGCAGCUAGCUAAAGUACAAUUGACGCUGAUGCACGAAAAGCGUGGGGAGCAAACAGG
rnacentral:rRNA from 1 species